GUUAGAGUGUAGAGGAGGCAGGUAGCCUAGUGGUUAGAGUGUAGAGGCGGCAGGGUAGUCUAGUGGUUAGAGUGUAGAGGAGGCAGGUAGCCUAGUGGUUAGAGUGUAGAGGAGGCAGGUAGCCUAGUGGUUAGAGUGUAGAGGAGGCAGGUAGCCUAGUGGUUGGAGUGUAGAGGAGGCAGGUAGCCUAGUGGUUAGAGUGUAGAGGAGGCAGGUAGCCUAGUGGUUAGAGUGUAGAGGAGGCAGGUAGCCUAGUGGUUAGAGUGUAGAGGAGGCAGGUAGCCUAGUGGUUAGAGUGUAGAGGAGGCAGGUAGCCUAGUGGUUAGUGUGUAGAGGAGGCAGGUAGCCUAGUGGUUAGAGUGUAGAGGAGGCAGGUAGCCUAGUGGUUAGAGUGUAGAGGAGGCAGGUAGCCUAGUGGUUAGAGUGUAGAGGAGGCAGGUAGCCUAGUGGUUAGAGUGUAGAGGAGGCAGGUAGCCUAGUGGUUAGAGUGUAGAGGAGGCAGGUAGCCUAGUGGUUAGAGUGUAGAGGAGGCAGGUAGCCUAGUGGUUAGAGUGUAGAGGCGGCAGGGUAGCCUAGUGGUUAGAGUGUAGAGGAGGCAGGUAGCCUAGUGGUUAGAGUGUAGAGGAGGCAGGUAGCCUAGUGGUUAGAGUGUAGAGGAGGCAGGUAGCCUAGUGGUUAGAGUGUAGAGGAGGCAGGUAACCUAGUGGUUAGAGUGUAGAGGAGGCAGGUAGCCUAGUGGUUAGAGUGUAGAGGAGGCAGGUAACCUAGUGGUUAGAGUGUAGAGGAGGCUGGCAGCAGGUUGAUGGCCUGGUGGAGAGCAGAGACAGAGAGCAGGUAGCCUAGUGGUUAGAGUGUAGGGGAGGCAGGUAGCCUAGUGGUUAGGGUGUAGAGGAGGCAGGUAGUCUAGUGGUUAGGGUGUAGAGGAGGCAGGUAGCCUAGUGGUUAGAGUGUAGAGGAGGCUGGCAGCAGGUUGAUGGCCUGGUGGAGAGCAGAGACAGAGAGCAGGUAGCCUAGUGGUUAGAGUGUAGAGGAGGCAGGUAGCCUAGUGGUUAGAGUGUAGAGGAGGCAGGUAGCCUAGUG